AGCAUCACAAACGUGUGCCACCAUGCCCAGAUUCUACUCUCACGGUUGUACUUUUGCUUUAAAAUAUUUUCUUGAAGUUGGGAUCCUUCUUCCUCAGCCUCCCGGCCCUGGAAUUAACUUCCAUUAUAGCCAACCCCCAGGACUAGCUUCAGUGAGCCAUGCAAGAUACGGAGACACGGGAAUGACUGUCAUGAGGGAAGAUACUUAUUUCACAGUCCCCGGAAGCAGGUCCCACAGAGUGCCUUCUGGGUUUCUUCCGGCGAAGUCUACCAGGCUGUCAAUUUCAAAAGGCUCCCAAGAACCAGAAAGGAAGAAAGGUCAGGGAUCCACUUCCAGAGGAAAGAACCAACUAAAUGCACUUUUUCCACGCAAGACUGAAAAGGGGAGAAAUUCAGACACAUGCUACAACAUGUAUGAACCUUGAAGGCAUCAUGACUCCAUUGGGAAUCUCCGUGCACCUGUGUUGUGGAAUCUUAGCUGAAGAUGUGUUACAUUCACUUACGCUGUGGGACAUAUUUGUUUAAUGAUGCAAAGAUGUGUUGCAUUCUUUUA